UACGGGGGGGGCAAGCGUUGUUCGGAAUUACUGGGCGUAAAGGGCUCGUAGGUGGCCAACUAAGUCAGACGUGAAAUCCCUCGGCUUAACCGGGGAACUGCGUCUGAUACUGGAUGGCUUGAGUUUGGGAGAGGGACGCGGAAUUCCAGGUGUAGCGGUGAAAUGCGUAGGUAUCUGGACGAACACCGGUGGCGAAGGCGGCGUCCUGGACCAAUACUGACACUGAGGAGCGAAAGCCAGGGGAGCAAACGGG
rnacentral:rRNA from 1 species